GCCCAGACGCCAGCCUAGGGAGGGGUGAGGAGGAGGCUGCACUGGCGCUCGGGUCGCCGCACCGCCCCGCAGCCUCGCGCUCUCCGCAGUGACAGCAACCACAACCGCAGCAGCACCCAGCUCCAUCCUCACCAGCCUGGCUGAGCUACAGCCCGGCAAUUCGGGCUGAGGACGACAAGCAGAAGGUGUGCAAGUGCCCCCGAGCUCCCCACUCCAUUGACCGAAGCUCAAGAAACCGGGAGUGGGCUAGCGGCGGUAUUGCACGGAGGGGACUGAGAAAAAGAGGACUGGAGACCAUGAAGCUAUUCAGGCAGGGAUGUGGCUUCUCUUAGCUGAAUAAUCCGUUAAAGGAAUAAUAAUUUUUAAAAAGGACCUCGGCCUCACCCAACGAGGACAGUGAAGGAGAUCAGCUCUUGAUCCGCCUUUGGUUUGGACUGGCUGAAACGCGGCGGACUGCAACCAGGAUCCUUUAAAGGAGAACAAAAAGAUGAGGAUAUUGUGCGGGGGUUCCGGGACAAAGCGUCUUGGGACGCGCGGAACUCUGGCUCCCCGAUUGGAGAGAUCAACGCUGCCCAACAGUACCCGGCCGGACCUGCGGACCUCUGAGCGAGAGGACCGCAGCAGGAGAGUUCCGGAAGGCUGAUUCCCACAGAUCCUGGUAAGGGACCGCAGCAGCUCUGCCCUGCGGCACGCCCGGCCAGGCUACACCCGGACCCUACACUCAAGGAAAAAGCUUGGAAACGAAAGGAUGCGGGAGAACAAAGAGCCUACGGAGGACGUGGCUGUUAUCUCAUUGUCUGUGACUGGGGGAGCUGCGGUAGGAAGGAUGCGGUGGUCCUUAGCUCAUCGCGUUCCCCAACCCCACACCCUCCCUGCUGUCAGUGCGCACGCACACGCACGCGUCGCCAGCUUUUUCUUUCUCAUCUCUCAUUUUUUUCAUCUCAUCUUCUCCCCAUCCCCUCCCUUUCUUUCCACCUUUCCUUCCUUUCUUCCUCCCUUCCUUUCUCCCAUCCUCCCUCUCUUCCAUCCUUCCUUCCUUUCCAUCCUUCCUUCUUUCUUUCCUUCCUUCCUUCUUUCUUUCCUUCCUUCCUUCUUCCUUCCUCAGGAGAAAGGCCUCUCUCUC
rnacentral:lncRNA from 1 species